UACAGAGGUCUCGAGCGUUAGGCGGAAUCACUGGGCUUAAAGCGUGUGUAGGCGGAUCGUUAAGUGCCUUGUGAAAUCCCACGGCUUAACCGUGGAACUGCUUGGCAUACUGGCGAUCUUGAGCAACCUAGGGGCGAGCGGAACAAAUGGUGGAGCGGUGAAAUGCGUAGAUAUCAUUUGGAACGCCAAUGGUGAAGACAGCUCGCUGGGGGUGUCCUGACGCUGAGGCGCGAAAGCCAGGGGAGCGAACGGG
rnacentral:rRNA from 1 species